rnacentral:lncRNA from 1 species
AUGAUUUUCUCCAAAAAUCAGUUUGGUGAAUUCACCACAUAUCUCAGCCUUGGUUAACAACAUGAAUUAUUGUCAUUUUGAAGAAAACUUCAUAAAUUGAUGACUGAAAAAAUGGAGACAAAUGAAGUAGUUGAGUAUUCAAAGAGAAGAAUUACUGAUAUCAUUUAUCAGCUGGACUUCGUUCACCACUUGUCUCAACUCUGUAGACUGAAGAGUAUCAAGAAGCAAGAUCUCAAAAUUCUCACCAUUCUUCAGGCACUAAAACAAAUAUUCUUUCUUUGAAAAAUGUGCCUAUGAAAAAUUCUGGCUGAUGGUAACAGAAGCUUGAAUCUUGUCUUUGCAACGCUUUCAUGCCAUUGACUAAUAGUGGUGGUAAAAGUUUCAC